GACGAACGCUGGCGGCGUGCUUAACACAUGCAAGUCGAACGAAAAGAGGGAAAGAGCUUGCUCUUUCCGGAAUUGAGUGGCAAACGGGUGAGUAACACGUAAACAACCUGCCUUCAGGAUGGGGACAACAGACGGAAACGACUGCUAAUACCGAAUAAGUUCCAAGGGCCGCAUGGCCCAUGGAAGAAAAGGUGGCCUCUACCGGUAAGCUAUCGCAUGAAGAGGGGUUUGCGUCUGAUUAGCUGGUUGGAGGGGUAACGGCCCACCAAGGCGACGAUCAGUAGCCGGUCUGGGAGGAUGAACGGCCACACUGGAACUGAGACACGGUCCAGACUCCUACGGGAGGCAGCAGUGGGGAAUCUUCCGCAAUGGGCGAAAGCCUGACGGAGCAACGCCGCGUGAGUGAUGACGGCCUUCGGGUUGUAAAACUCUGUGAUCCGGGACGAAAAGGCAGAGUGCGAAGAACAAACUGCAUUGACGGUACCGGAAAAGCAAGCCACGGCUAACUACGUG
rnacentral:rRNA from 1 species